CCAGACUCCUACGGGAGGCAGCAGUGGGGAAUAUUGCACAAUGGGGGAAACCCUGAUGCAGCAACGCCGCGUGAGUGAGGAAGUAUUUCGGUAUGUAAAGCUCUAUCAGCAGGGAAUAGAAAAGAAGGUACCUGAAAAAGAAGCCCCGGCUAACUACGUGCCAGCAGCCGCGGUAAUACGUAGGUGGCAAGCGUUAUCCGGAUUUACUGGGUGUAAAGGGCGUGUAGGCGGGGACGCAAGUCAGAUGUGAAAACCACGGGCUCAACCUGUGGCCUGCAUUUGAAACUGUGUUUCUUGAGUACUGGAGAGGCAGACGGAAUUCCUAGUGUAGCGGUGAAAUGCGUAGAUAUUAGGAGGAACACCAGUGGCGAAGGCGGUCUGCUGGACAGCAACUGACGCUGAGGCGCGAAAGCGUGGGGAGCAAACAGGAUUAGAUACCCGAGUA
rnacentral:rRNA from 1 species